AUAAAAGGAUAGGUGGACUAUGUGCAUUAUAAUAGUAUGACUUCACACACACGCUCACACACACACACAUACACACACACACAAGUCAAGAGAAACUAAUUUAACUAUGGCUGCAGCAAAGUCAACGUAGCAUACAUUUCAACAUAAAUACAGGCAUGUUGGGGAGUGCUUUAAAUGGAUCCCUGUAUUCUGAGAAUGAAUACCCUCUCACAUCUAUUGGUCACUGAUCAGUUAGGAACUCCCCUCACCUGGUUGUCUAGAUCUUAAUUGGACACAAAUUGAAAGGACAAACCAAAAACCAGCAGACACUAGGUCCUUCGUGGAAUGAGUUUGACACCCCUGGUCUACAACAUCAAGGUGUGGGUCAGGGACAAUACAGCCAAACCUAGGUUCUAAUACUACUUGAAAUCUAUCAGAUACUUGGGAGAUUGCCUUGAGUGCCAGAGGGGUGGGGUUUGAAGUUUUGGGACUGUUAUAUUGGUCUAUUAAGCCAGGCAAGCUCAAUCAAGCACAGAGAGUAUUUGAAAUGAUUUCAAAUAGUAUUUGAACACAGCAUCAUGCUGACUGCAGUAGGAAGCUAACAACUGACUUGGAGAACACUUAUUGACAUUCAUACAAUACUGACUGGCGGUGAUGAGGUUUUGUUCACUUACAGUGAAAAAAUGCAUUGGACAUACGUUCUAAGUGCAAUAUUAGUGUGGGUAUUGGAAUGUAGCCUGAAAGAUUGAACUCUUGACAGUACAAAUUGAAGGUGCAGGGGGCAGGUUUGUGAGACUUCUCUUCCUUCCGUCCCGUUCUCAUCUCUCUGAACUUUAGGGUUAAUUUUAGGGAAUGUUCUGGAUUUUUCAAAUGUUCUGAUGGGAUCAGGUAGAGCCGGACGUAGCAGGAACAGAGAGUCUGGGGUGCCUUUCAAGACUCUCCAGCCUCUAAUCCAAUCUAAUCCAAUCAGCAGGCUGGGAUUUCUUACGCAGAAAGAGAAGAGGAAUAGCAGGACAAGAGGAGAAGAAAGAGAGGAGGAAGAGCAUGACAAAAGGAGAAGAAAGAGAAGAGGAAGAGCAGCACAAGAGGAGAAGAAUGAGAGGAGGAAGAGCAGGACAAGAGGAGAAGAAUGAGAGGAGGAAGAGCAGGACAAAAGGAGAAGAAUGAGGAGGAAGAGCAGGACAUGAAAGAGGAGGAAGAGCAGGACAUGAGGAGCAGAAAGAGAGGAGGAAGAGCAGGUUGAGAAGGAGCAUUCAGCUUAAUUCAGUUUCCAAGAGAAAUGUAGGCUGUCUGUUCAGAAGUGCAAAUAGUUCUGCAACAGUAAUACAACAUCAUCGCAAUGCCAUCAGCUCUGACAGGGAAGUUCACAUCUCAAACAAUCACCUGCCACUUCAAACAAACGGCCAACACAGUUUGCUUUUGUUCUGUUUGUUGCUCUCUUCCUAGUGGCCGUGUAUAAAGUAUCGUAGAUAGAGUGAGAUGGUUGGUCCAAUAAGGAAAGCAGAGGAAGGGCAUGAUGCCCCCAGGCAACAUCACGCUUCAGGAUGCCCCCCAGGCAACGUCACGCUUCAGGAUGCCCACCCAGACAACGUCACGUUUCAGGA
rnacentral:lncRNA from 13 species